rnacentral:pre_miRNA from 1 species
UUUGGAAUAGCUGGGUCAAAAGGUGGUUCCAUUCUCAGAUUUUCAAGGAAUCUCCAUACUGCUUUCAAUAUUGGCUGCACCAUUUUGUAGUCCUACCAGCAAU